GCAUCGGUAGUGCAACGGUUAGCAUACGCUCCCGGAAAGAGUGAGGUCUGGGUUCGAAUCCCGGAAACUAGGUGACA